rnacentral:rRNA from 1 species
UACAGAGGUCUCAAGCGUUGUUCGGAUUCAUUGGGCGUAAAGGGUGCGUAGGUGGCGGGGUAAGUCAGGUGUGAAAUCUCGAGGCUCAACCUCGAAACUGCGCUUGAUACUGCCUUGCUGGAGUACUGGAGAGGAGAUUGGAAUUUACGGUGUAGCAGUGAAAUGCGUAGAUAUCGUAAGGAAGACCAGUGGCGAAGGCGAAUCUCUGGACAGUUACUGACACUGAGGCACGAAGGCCAGGGGAGCAAACGGG